UUGAAAGGGAAACGAUUGAAGUCAGUCAUACCAACGGGAAAUCAACCUUUUGAGCUUGGUCUCGUGGGUUUUGAAGAGUUUCAAAGCCUUCGGAUUCGCGAGAUUGGGAUCUCUUGGUGUACUUUUUCGUACGGUUAGUCAACAUCGGUUUUGAAUGUCAUAAAAUGACUGGAGGAAUGUAGCUUCGAUCUCGUAUUGAAGUGUUAUAGCCUUUGGUAGAUGUGAUGUUUGAGACCGAGGAUUGCAACGGAUACCCUUCAGGGCUAUUCGUCUGAUCUCUGAUACGUUGCCUUGAUGUUGAAAGCUUGCUUAUGAUGUUAGGGUAUUACGGUCAAAAGGUUAGAACGAAUUACAUUCGUUAAGGAUGUUGACGUA
rnacentral:rRNA from 3 species